rnacentral:misc_RNA from 1 species
AGAGAGAGAGAGAGAGAGACGGAACUUUUGAGUUCCUUAGCUUUAGUCAGAAUCAGUUGACAAAACAAUCAAGUAUAUUUUCUAGGCAACUGAUUGUAGUUAGAUGCAUGAGAGCAAUACAAAUGACAAUAUUACCUUAGUAUAUGAAAUCUAUAAAGUAUCAAGAUGACUUGAAUCCUUGUGUUGAAAUCAAGAAUAAUAAGGAGAAAACCUUCCCCCUACCCAGCAGCCAACAGUAAAGACCUUCAAACCAUCUCAUGCAAUGGGCAAGCCAUUGCCAAGUAGACAUGGUGGGCUACUGGCACUACCUAUCAUUUUAUUUCCAUAGCCCUAUACAUUACUAGGGAGAUUCUUUAUAUCACACUAUAAUUGAAAAUAAUAACACCGCCUAGCCAUGUUAAGAUACCAUAUUAUUCACAAGAGGAAUCUCAACUUCAUGUAUCAAAGCAUUCAGCACUGCUGCCUCAAAAGAGAAAAAUAGUAAAGGAAGGAAUUGAAGCACCAAUGCCACAAGAGUUAUUAAGACAUAUUCUCUAGGGGCUUAGGUUGCCUAGUGCAGGCAGCCUAUAUAGUUCAAACUCAGAUUUUCUUUUGUGGAAUGAUAGGACUACCAAAACAUUAAACAACAAAUAAGGAGAAUGGUAACCAUUUCAAUCAAACCCUUUUGGGUUAAUAAGUGAUAAGCAAUGUCUAGAAAACCUUUUAGAAACCAAGUAACUCCUACGCUAACCACUCCACUCCACUCUAAUCCAGAACAAGGAGGAAAACACGUAAGGCACAUAUCAAAAAAGAAUCUUCAUAAGAAAACUCAUUAUUUUUUUGUCAUGAUGAGCACAUUGCAACCUUAAUAAAAAAAUGAAAAAAAAUUAUUAAUUACAAAUUAUGCGGCUCUAAUUUAUAUUGAAUCCCUUGUGAUAAUAAAUAUUGGCCGUCUUGUAAAAUACAAUAAACUGUAUGUUGGAAAAUGAAGGCACUGUGUUUGAUGGUAUAUGUUACAAUUCGACAAGGGAUCUGCAUAUUAAUGCAGCAUUAAUGAAAAGCUGUAAAGAUAAAGAAAUGAGUAGCUACAUAGUUAUCACAUCUAUUCUUUCAAAUCAGCUAUAAAAUUUUAUUCUUCUACAGGCCAAAUACUCAACCUGACAAAAGAGGGAAGACAAAGAGUCAAGCAAAUAACUCAGCAAAGCAAGAGUAAUCCAGAUUAUGAAUAUUAUGU